AGGAUAGUAGUUAAUAAUAACAUUUAAUUUGCAUUUAAAAAAUAUUGAUUUAAUCAAUCUAUCUU
rnacentral:tRNA from 1 species